rnacentral:rRNA from 1 species
UACUGAGGAUGCAAGCGUUAUCCGGAUUCAUUGGGUUUAAAGGGUGCGUAGGCGGGCUAUUAAGUCAGUGGUGAAAUCCUGCAGCUUAACUGCAGAACUGCCGUUGAUACUGAUAGUCUUGAGUUUGGUUAAGGUAGGCGGAAUGUGUAAUGUAGCGGUGAAAUGCUUAGAUAUUACACAGAACACCAAUUGCGUAGGCAGCUUACUGAGCCGACACUGACGCUGAGGCACGAAAGCGUGGGGAUCAAACA